rnacentral:rRNA from 1 species
GGGACGAACGCUGGCGGCGUGCUUAACACAUGCAAGUCGAGCGGAAAGGCCCUUCGGGGUACUCGAGCGGCGAACGGGUGAGUAACACGUGAGUAACCUGCCCCUAGCUCUGGGAUAGCUCCGGGAAACCGGGAUUAAUACCAGAUACGACCACUUUAGACAUCUGUCGUGGUGGAAAGGAUUCCGGCUAGGGAUGGGCUCGCGGCCUAUCAGCUUGUUGGUGGGGUAACGGCCUACCAAGGCGACGACGGGUAG